GAAGGUGAUUGCUAUGUGUGUCCAAGAGGAAGAAAGGCUAAAGAAUACAAAUGGUGGUUGUGUGAACUUUGUGAAAGGAAAGAACAAAAAACCAUUCUACAACAAGAAAGCUCCAAAUGCCUCCACAUGGAGGAAGCUCUUCAUAGCCCAAAGCACAGCCAAAGCAAGACAACCAGCAGAAGCAGGAGGAAUCGGAUCGCUGUAGAUGGUGCAAUGAGACAGGGCAUUGGAAGCAUGAUUGCCCUAAGUUCAUGAGACACUGCCUAGUAAAAGGGAUUCAAUGGAGGGAGAACCCUUCAAAGAGGAGAAAGACAAAUUAUGGUAGCCACUGGUGUUGAAGCUGAAGUUCAAGCUAUAAGAAAUUUAUCUCUAGAUUUAGCUAGUGGUUUCACACUUAAGUUGCAUGAUGUUCUUUAUGUUCCCUCUUUAGCUAGAAAUUUAAUUUCAGUUUCAUGUUUGUUAGACUAUGGUUUUGAUUGUCAUUUCAGCAAGAAUGAUUGUAAGCUACAGUUAAAUAAUUAAUGUGUGAGUCUUGCCUUCCGACAAGACAAACUUUAUUUA